GGGGGCAGAUAGGUACUGGUGUGCCUCCCGGACUUCAAAUCCGGUGGCGGGCGUAAACCGGCCGCGGUGGGUUCGAUUCCCAUGUGCUCCCGCCA
rnacentral:tRNA from 1 species